AACAGGAUUAGAUACCCUGGUAGUCCACGCCCUAAACGAUGUCUACUAGUUGUCGGGUCUUAAUUGACUUGGUAACGCAGCUAACGCGUGAAGUAGACCGCCUGGGGAGUACGGUCGCAAGAUUAAAACUCAAAGGAAUUGACGGGGACCCGCACAAGCGGUGGAUGAUGUGGUUUAAUUCGAUGCAACGCGAAAAACCUUACCCACCUUUGACAUGUACGGAAUCCUUUAGAGAUAGAGGAGUGCUCGAAAGAGAACCGUAACACAGGUGCUGCAUGGCUGUCGUCAGCUCGUGUCGUGAGAUGUUGGGUUAAGUCCCGCAACGAGCGCAACCCUUGUCAUUAGUUGCUACGAAAGGGCACUCUAAUGAGACUGCCGGUGACAAACCGGAGGAAGGUGGGGAUGACGUCAAGUCCUCAUGGCCCUUAUGGGUAGGGCUUCACACGUCAUACAAUGGUACAUACAGAGGGCCGCCAACCCGCGAGGGGGAGCUAAUCCCAGAAAGUGUAUCGUAGUCCGGAUUGGAGUCUGCAACUCGACUCCAUGAAGUUGGAAUCGCUAGUAAUCGCGGAUCAGCAUGUCGCGGUGAAUACGUUCCCGGGUCUUGUACACACCGCCCGUCACACCAUGGGAGCGGGUUUUACCAGAAGUGGGUAGCCUAACCGUAAGGAGGGCGCUCACCACGGUAGGAUUCGUGACUGGGGUGAAGUCGUAACAAGGUAACC
rnacentral:rRNA from 1 species